CGGAGCGACUGCGCAGCCCGGGAGGGAGAGAAAGGUGGGAGCCGUGGGAGCCAAUGCGCUUGGAGUGAGAACCGGCUAAAGCUGCCUGGUCUCUGAUCCGAGAGGCUUAGAAACUGGGAUUGGUGGAACCCAGCGAGACCUGUUUGCAGCUCAUCCUGUGCCCAGCCCAGGAAGUACAAGUAAAAUGAGUAGAUAACAGAGUUGUGAAAGAUGCUGACCUGCCCUGACCUCCUUCUCAUCCAUCUAAUAGACAAGGACUGGUGUUUAAGGACUCUUGGGAGGAAGACCACAGAAACGAAGUGUCAUCCUCAUCACAUCGUUUCAAGGCUGCCUGAUGUCAACAUAAUCACCGCCAUGGAUGUUGACUUUGCUCACCUGGCUGAGGUGAUGUCUGUAAAGUUCUUCUUUGUCCUCCAUUCCAUACUGUGCUCCCUGGAAGAAGUCAGGGCUAUAGUGGGUGGGGAGUCAAGCUUCACUUCCUUGAGGGGUCAAUAUUUACAUCAAUUAUUGACAAUUUCCCCAUACAGAAACCUUUUCUCUCCCUCUUUUAUUUGCUUAUUCAAUCAUUUAUUUGUAUCAAUACAGACUCACAGAUAUUUAUUUUAUCCUUUGAGUUGUUAUCAAAUAUGUUAUUUCUUUUUUGUUCAAAUUGUUCCUACCUUUGACUCUGGGUUGAUUCAAUUUUAGUAGAUUCUGUGGUCCUUUGAUGUGGCCCCAUCCCUUUGUUUUGGAAGCACUUCCUUCUUUCCUUCCAAGAUGCUCCAGGCUCCUGCCCCAGGCUAGGAUCAGACACUUCUUCCAGGAGCCCUGGUGUCUGUUAUCAAGGAGAACAGGCUUAGGAAUCUAGGUCUGGGUGCCAUGUGCCCUCUGAAGGAACAAAAUUGGAAAUUUAUGCUGAAAUAUAGAUAACUUGUAUAUAAUACACAUGACUAGGAUG